rnacentral:rRNA from 1 species
UACGUAGGGGGCAAGCGUUGUCCGGAAUCAUUGGGCGUAAAGCGCGUGUAGGCGGCUGGGUAGGUCCGCUGUGAAAACUCGAGGCUCAACCUCGAGACGUCGGCGGAAACCAUCCAGCUAGAGUCCGGAAGAGGAGAGUGGAAUUCCUGGUGUAGCGGUGAAAUGCGCAGAUAUCAGGAGGAACACCUGCGGUGUAGACGGCUUACUGGACCAUAACUGACGCUGAGGCACGAAAGCGUGGGUAGCAAACAGG